CCUACGGGAGGCUGCAGUGAGGAAUAUUGGUCAAUGGGCGCGAGCCUGAACCAGCCAAGUAGCGUGAAGGAUGACUGCCCUACGGGUUGUAAACUUCUUUUAUAAAGGAAUAAAGUGAGGCACGUGUGCCUUGUUGUAUGUACUUUAUGAAUAAGGAUCGGCUAACUCCGUGCCAGCAGCCGCGGUAAUACGGAGGAUUCGAGCGUUAUCCGGAUUUAUUGGGUUUAAAGGGUGCGUAGAUGGGUUGUUAAGUCAGUUGUGAAAGUUUGCGGCACAACCGUAAAAUUGCAGUUGAUACUGGCAGUCUUGAGUACGGUAGAGGUAGGCGGAAUGCGUGGUGUAGCGGUGAAAUGCUUAGAUAUCACGAAGAACUCCGAUUGCGAAGGCAGCUUACUAACCUGCCACUGACAUUGAUGCUCGAAAGUGUGGGUAUCGAACAGGAUUAGAUACCCGGGUAGUC
rnacentral:rRNA from 1 species